rnacentral:lncRNA from 1 species
CAAAAAAAAGUUGUUACUUAGCAAUUAACUACGGACUAUGGCAAAUUACUUUUCGAUCAAUUGUUAACAGCUUCAAUCAUUUUAUUGAGAUAAAAAUAAUUAUCGAAUCCCAACCGAUAAAAUAUUGUAAUUCUUUUUUAACAUUAAAAAGUGGCACCAAACUACAAAGUGAAAUCAGAUGCUUUUUGAUUGGUUGUGGGAUCUUGACCCUUAUCAUGAAGUCUUAAUUUCACGGACAGCCAUCGUCCUCUAAAACUCAUUCGAGCGAAGAAGACAAGAUUGGGGGUAGCUUUCAUUAGUGGCUUUAUGAUUAGAUGCAACACCUUGGUAUUAAUUUAUUAUGAUCAUGCAAAUCUCAGUUGAGCAAAUUGUAUGAUUAAAUAAUUGAUUGAGCCACUAAUUUAUAAUAUAGCUGAUCGUAUUAUUAAUUUGGCUUUAUCUCAUCCAUCCAUUAAUUGCAAAUUAAGCUAGUGGUUGUAAUUUGUAAAGCAGCAGUGAAGGAGCUUUCACAGUUCACAUGCACUAUGUUGUGCAUCAAAUAGAUUCACGCUAAUAUUAAAAUAAUCAACUUGUAAACAAAAGAUAUAAAUUGUUGCAUUAGAGACGGAUAUCCUAGAUUUCAGGUCCGAUCAUAAUUGGCACAGAUUCUCUCAUAAUCUAAUUUUUUUCAAAGGUUUAAUUUUUUAUUUUUAUAAUCAAUUAGCAUCCAAAUACACUGAUGGGUAUAUGAGAUAAGGUUCUAACCUAAAUUAAGUAACAGUGUUACUUACUGAUGCAAUUCAAAGAAAAUGAAGGUUGAGUAAGAGUUCAUCUCACCCAAAAAAAAUUUCCAAGAAAGGAUAACGAAAGUCUGAAAACUCAAAAUGUGAACAGGGAAAGACAUCCAAGAAAGGACACACAAACACUGAAGUUGGUGGAAACUACCGUGAUAAAUUUGGUAUUUGGAGUCAAUCACAUGUAACGCACAUAGCUAAGAAACAAAGAAAGUGAAAGAAACUAGAAAGGACAAAACGCAACCACACAUGGAUUAACGUCGUUGUAAUUAAAGUCUUGGUUGCAGUCGCACAAUCAACUGCAUUACCUGCUUUUCCAACUUUCUCUUCCUUUUUUCUAUCUAGAGAAAGCGAAAGGAUUGGCUUCUAUUUCCUCAAAAUAGGGGAAAAGCCAAAGACCCCAGCUAUGCAGACGCAUUUGUUUCUGCAACACAAUUGAGGUCAGUUACCAUGUUUCCAAGUUUCUUUUAAAUCUUUUUGCUUUUGCUCCAUUUUGCUUAAAGAAAAGAUUUUUGACUCUUUGAUUCACGCAGCUUGUAAUUUGACUGAUUCUUUAUUUAGAGGGUCUGCAGAACAAUUGCUCUUCAUAUAUUUUAUCAGUCUUUUUAUGAUUUUUUUGUGAUUUAAUUUCAAUACACUUUGUUCUACGUCAAAGUUCUCCUGCAAAUGUUUAAAUUUUAAGAAAUAUAGCAAAAUCUGUAAUUUUUUUUUAUUAUUUUGAGCUAAUUUUUGGUUGUAAGUUGCUCUUGUGUUUAUUUGGGAAAGUUGAGUGCGUUUUUGCAGUUAAAGAAAUUAUGGGUUUAUUUAGAUACACGGGGGCCUUGUGUUUUUGUCUACUCCUUGUGUUCAAAACCUGCAUUGCUGGCUCCCAACGUAUUGGAAAGCUUUAUCCUGGGUUUGAAGCAACCCAGAUGGAGUGGAUCAAUAACAGCGGGCUAUUUCUAAUCUCUAAUAACUCGGUUUUUGGUUUUGGCUUUUAUACUGCCUUGGAUGUUCAAUUCUUUUUGCUGGUUGUUAUUCAUAUUAGUAGCGCAAAAGUAGUUUGGACUGCCAAUAGAGGCUUGUUGAUUAGAGAUUCUGAUAAGUUUGUGUUUGAGAAAAAUGGGAAUGCAUAUUUACAAAGAGGAAAUGGUGAAGCUUGGUCUGCAAAUACUUCAGGACAGAAAGUUGAAUGCAUGGAAUUGCAGGACUCAGGCAACUUGGUAUUGCCCGGGGUAAAUGGAAGUAUUCUUUGGCAGAGUUUUAGCCAUCCAACUGAUACCCUUUUACCUGGCCAAGAGUUUGUGGAAGGGAUGAGGCUUAAAAGUUUUCCCAAUAGCAAUAACAUGAGUGUUUAUCUUGAAUUCAAGUCGGGCGAUUUAGUCUUGUAUGCAGGGUAUCAAACUCCACAAACGUAUUGGUCCUUGGCUAACGACAGCCGGAAAACCAAUACCAGUGUAUCUGCCAAGGUCCAUUCUGCUUCUUUGGUGUCCAAUGCGUGGAAUUUUUAUGAUAUUAAAAAGGCAUUGCUUUGGCAAUUCAUCUUCUCAGAAAACAAUGAUGAGAAUGCUACCUGGGCUGCCAUUUUAGGCUCUAAUGGGGAAAUUACGUUUUCUAAUCUUCGUAACGGAAAGGCAGCUACUUCUGAGGCAAUCAAGAUCCCGCAAAUUUCUUGCAGCGUUCCUGAGCCUUGUAACCCGUAUUUUGUGUGCUAUUUUGACAAUUGGUGCCAGUGCCCUACUUCCCUCAGAUCUCAAUUGAACUGCAGACCUCCAGUUGCUUCAACAUGCAAUGUAUCCAUGAAUUCGGCAAAGCUUUUCUAUCUGGGUGAAAGGCUUGAUUAUUUUGCACUUGGGUUUGUAUCACCCUUUCCGAGAUAUGAUCUUAAUACAUGCAAAGAAGCUUGCCUACAUAACUGCUCCUGCUCUGUGCUGUUCUUUGAAAAUAGUACGAAGAAUUGCUUCUUGUUUGAUCAGAUAGGUAGUUUGCAACGCUCUCAGCAGGGUUCUACUGGUUAUGUUUCAUAUAUGAAAAUAUCAAGUGGAAAUGAGGUCUUAAACUCUAAAAGUCGAGAAAGUGAUGGAGGGAAACCCAUCGUACUAAUUGUUGUCAUAGUUGUUGCAACUAUACUUGUAAUUGCCAGUCUACUUUAUGCAGGACUCUGGCACCACAACAAAAGGAAGAGAUUAACAAAAUUUUCUCAAGAAGACUUGGAAGAGGAUAACUUUUUGGAAAAAAUUUCAGGUAUGCCUACUCGUUUCAGUUACGAUGAUCUUUGUAAAGCAACUAAAAACUUCUCGACAAAGCUCGGACAAGGAGGGUUUGGCUCAGUCUAUCUAGGCAUGCUACCAGAUGGUAUCCAAGUGGCAGUCAAAAAGCUGGAGAGCAUUGGGCAGGGGAAGAAGGAAUUUAGCGCUGAAGUCACAACAAUUGGGAAUGUACAUCAUCUUCAUCUGGUCAAACUCAAAGGCUUCUGCAUAGAGGGAGCUCACAGGCUUCUUGCUUAUGAGUACUUGGGAAACGGGUCUUUGGAUAAAUGGAUCUUCAAUAGUACUGAGGAAAGUCGGUUUUUGAGUUGGAAUACAAGAUUUAAUAUUGCAUUAGGCAUGGCAAAGGGAUUAGCUUAUCUUCAUGAGGAGUGUGAGGUAAAGAUUGUUCAUUGCGACAUAAAACCUGAGAAUGUUCUUCUCGAUGAUAAUUUCACCGCCAAAGUUUCAGAUUUUGGUUUGGCUAAGCUGAUGAACCGUGAAGAAAGCCUUGUAUACACGACACUGAGGGGUACACGGGGGUACCUUGCACCAGAAUGGAUAACAAACAAUCCUAUUUCAGAGAAGAGUGAUGUAUACAGCUACGGUAUGGUCUUGCUAGAGAUCAUUGGGGGCAGGAGGAGUUUUUCUGUGGGGGAUGAUUCAGAGAAAGCUCGAUUUCCUUCCUAUGCCUUCAAGAUGCUAGAAGAAGGUAACCAAAGAGAAAUCCUUGAUCCAAGGCUAGAUAUGGAUGAAAAUGAUGAGAGUAUUGCUACUGCAAUUAAAGUUGCAUUGUGGUGCAUACAAAAUGAGAUGCAGUUGAGACCACCGAUGACUAAAGUUGUCCAAAUGCUUGAAGGUCUCUGUCCGGUACCUCAGCCUCCAACCCCUUCUCAGUUGAAUUCAUGGGCUUACUCAAGUUUCUUUAAGUGGAGCAGUGAAGAGGGUACUUCUUCAGGAGUAGUUGAUGACAAUAGUAGUGCAUUUUUGUCAGAAAUUCAAUUAUCAGGCCCAAGAUGAUAGAAACAAUACUAUAGACAACAAAUGGAAGUAUCUUCACUCAACUGUGGAAGGUUCCAUAAAAGAAACUUUCUAGUUUUCUGAUCCUUUAUGUGCAAAUUCUUAAAUAUGCUUACAAGUUCUUACAAAUUAGCUUUAGUGAAUAUGAGCUUUUAGUCUUGCCUUUUGGUGAAGUUUCCGAAUUCCGAUUACAAUAUCAUUACUAUAUGUUAUCCUUGUUCUACUUCUGGUUUCGAAAAAUGGCUAAUGAUCUCUGAUUUAAGGUACCGGUAGUAGUUUGGACUGUUUGCGACAGAUGAAAUGGAAACUGUCCCAUUUAAUCUUAGUUCGAUUCAUUUAAACUUGAGGAGAUUAAUAUUAGCUUCUAUAAUUUUCCUUCCCCCAGUCCACCUUCAAGUUUUAUUAAUGUUUGGUAUCAACGUCUCCAGAUUAUAAAACGAUUGUUCAUACUAGUAUUCUAUUACAUCUAAAAUUGAUCUUGUUAUUUGAUGUGUUUCUACUAUUUUGUGACAAUCCCAUAUAUAACAUAUGCAGAAAAUAUUUUUAUGAUUAUUAUAUAGAGAUAUUUAAUCAAAUUUCAAGUAAGUAAUCAAUUGAGAAGACAUAUCACAUCAGAGAUUCAAAAGCAAGACGAUUACUACUAAAACCAUUUGCCAUUUGCUUAAUAUCACACACUGUAAAUUCAAUCAGGAGGAUCCAGGAUAGAUCUAGUGUUUCUGUUGCAAUUUAUGGUAGCUAGAAAACAUUUUCUUUUAAUGGGGUAAAUACAUGUUAAGUUCUUAUAUUUUAACAUAAUAGGCCAUUUAGUUUUUAUAUUUUAAAUAAGGCUAAUGUUAAGUUACAUGCAUGUAACUUAAAGUGAUCCUUUAAAUAAUAUCUCACAAAACCUCUACUGUUAAAAUUAUUAUGAUCCUACCCUUAAUUUUUCUUUCUUUUUAUAAUAAUACUCUUGCAGUAAUAUUUUUCAGAUAUUACUGAAAAAAUAUUAAUUUAUCAAAUUAAUCUUAAAAACAAAAUAAAAAUUAAUGUAAAUUUUUAUGUUAUUAUUUUACUUUAUUAAUUUGGUAAAUUAAAAAUUUAUAUAUAAUUGUUAGUAAGAUUAUUGAAAGGAUAUUAAAUAUUACUUUAAGUUGGCCAAUAUUAAUUUAUUUAUAAAUAAUUAUUAGGAAGAUUGUUGUGAAGGUACAGAAAAUAUUAUUUAUGUUAUAUUGAUACUUAUUAGUUAAUUUGUUAAUAAAUAUUUAUUGGGUCACCUGCUAAUUAAUUUUUUUUAUAAAUAAACUAAUUAAUGUUAAAAGUAUUGUUGUUAGGAUAUUAUUGUAAAAAGAAAAAGAAAAAUAAAGAUAAAAAUGUAACACAAUUAAUAACAGAAAUAUAUUGAAAUACAUUUUCAAACAUAACAACUAAACAAACACGUAAAUUAAAAUUCAGAGAUCCGUCCCUUUUAAUAUCAAUGACCAACAUAUUAAAAAAUUCUCAAUUUGCGAGUAUGAGAUUUUCUUCUUGUUGCUUUCAUAGAUAGUCUUUGCCGAUUGAGUUGUGAUAACAUAAAAUAAUAUGCCAGAUUACAUCACGAAUCAUUUUUUGCUUUUGGCUUCAUUACCCCGGGAAAAUUGUCCCCACGCUUUCACAAUGAGACCAUUCACAAGCUCUUCUGAUGGAGGAUUCUAGUUAAUCUCAAGAGAGAUUUUUAAUGUAUUUUAAAUUAUAUUUAUUGAAGAAAUAUCUAUUGAAUUUGGAACUAUUCACAUCCACCUAAUCUCAAAUGGUUGAUAUUGGUUCUGUUUCCCUACUACCAAAGCCAAUUCUAAGUUCAAUGAUUGAGAUUUUUGCAUCUGCUAAAAUGUUCUUGGAUCCUCAGCUUGAUCUCUAUCUUCCAAUCACUUUCUUGGUGAUGUUAUGAAAAAAAUAACUUGGGAAGAGAUGUCAUUUGUCCACCGAGGCCAUCAUGUAUAUAUCUCAUAAUCACCAAAAACAAAUGACAAAGGAGUCUCUGCAACUCCAUAACUAAUAAUUAAUAAUCAGAGCAUAUCAACUUAUCCUCUUAAUGUAUAUGAAAGAAAAUGAAAUCUAGUGACCCACGUAAAUUGGUUAGAAUGUAACAAAGAAUUUUGAGACAAAAAGUAAAGAAAUGAGAGGACUGAUUCUGUUGGCCAUUCAUUUACCCACUUUCCCUCGUCUGUUCUAGAUUAUUUUAAGACUUAGAGAUGGUUGGACUUCUAACUUAAAAUUAUUGGAAAGAAUGAAGAUCCUGAAAAGUGUCUCUCCAUAAUACAGAAAAAAGGGCAAGUUACAUGGUACAUGGGCUCAUCAUGUAGAAAGAUAGAAAGAUACACAUAUGAUACAUGGUUCGCUCCCUACAUUUUACAUAUUUAGGCAAAGUUAUUGUUAGGAUAUUACAGUGAGAAAGUAACUAUGUUAAUAUUUUUGUUGGCUACGCAUUAGUAAUAUGUUGGCUUGGCUAUCUUACAACUCAUAGCAGCUAUCAUUGGUUUUAACUCUUUUAUGCUUCUUAUGAUGCAGCAGUUAAAGGAGAAUGAUGAGAAGCCCCGUGGAAGAAAUUAGGUGGUGACGUAUGGCUGUGAUCAGUUUGAUGUUGGCUCUCUUCAUUGUCUUGUUCUUCUUCUUCAUCAUCUCCAGCAUCCCACAGAAAUUUAGCAUAUGAUGCAAGCACAUAACUGCACAAAAAAUUCAAUUUUCAACAUAAGACUUCUUCAGUGAGUAUUUAACAAGCCAUAUCACAAACGGGAAAGCACAAACAAACUUCUGAAUAUCUAGACCCUCCAAGUUCCAAAAGAUCCCAAAUUGUUCUGAUCAAAUUCCACUUCAAAGAACCUACAUGGAGUUAUAAAGUUACUACUUGCCCGUUAGGCAUUGACGUGCCGUGGCUUUUAGAAUCACUAACUAUCAAGUAAAAGCUCGACAACUUGUCAUGCAGUCACUAUAAGUAACAAAGUCAGCGUCUAAGUAACAAUCAAAGGUACAAUUUAAUCAAAUUCAAUCAAUGCAUGCAUUCAUAUGGGUUUGAUCCCUUACCAAUCAUCAGGGGCAGAUUUAACAGCUUGAUCAAAGUAACUCUCAGCUCUUGAAGCAUCUUUAUGAGCUUGCCAUAUUAGAUCAGCAUAGAGUGACAAGAUAUUACCAUCACUUGGGUUAGCCAAAAUUGCUCUUCCACAUAACUCCUCUGCUUUUGCAAAAUCUCCUCUGACCUGUCCAUUCAUAAUCAAAAAAAUCUCAGCCAAAUUCUUUUUAUUUAAAAAAAAAACAAUAUCCACAAAACUAAUAACAUUACCUCUUUCAAGAACCUGGCAUAAUUUCCAAGCAACAAAGCGUUUCCAGGAUUUGCUUCUAUCAUCUUCUCAUAAUAAGCAUCAGUGCUACUACUCCCAUAAUUGUUAUUACUAUAAUUAUUAUUACUCCCAGAAAACCCUGAGCCCCCACCCCCACCACCAGCAUCUCCGCCGCCACGGCCGUCGCAUAUUUUCCCGCCAUCAUUUCCCAAACCGCCACCCAUGACCAUUGUUUGCACAUAACUACCACCACCGUCUUCAACUUCACAGCCUUCUUUUUCAUCAUCAUCAUCCUUCUUCAGUAAUUUCUCCCCCAACCCAGAACUUGAAAACAGUCUUUGAAUCCUUGAACUUGAUUCUUUUGCUUGAUGAUGAUCAUGAGAAUGACUUGCUGGUGGUGGCUUUAAAGCUCUGAUAUUGCCUUUCUUGUUCAUUUGUGAGUCCCUUAUUUCUUUCCUUUGGUAAAUUGUAGUUAACAGCUUGUGCUUUCUUGACUGAUGAUGAUGAUGAUCAUCGGAUAAUGAAACUGAUCUUGUUCUUUGGAGAACUUGAAGCUCUGGCUCUGUUGAUGAAUUUGAUGAUGAUGACGACGAUGAGUCUUUGCUGUACUGGGGCAGCCAUGAGUGCAAUAUUGGCGUUGACGAGCUUCUUAGCAGCAUGUUUGCUGAAUGCAGUAGACUGAGAAAAAAAAAAACCGCUUUUUGAGAAAGUGCUUUUCGAAGAAGUGCUUUCCUUUAGGUAAAUAAGCAGAGGAACAAACUCCUCUGUUUGGAGCUGCAAAGUAUUGUUGGAGAAUGCUUUCACAGAAGAAUGAAGAAACUGGGCGUGAUGAAAUCUCCGCCGUUGUUUUAGUUGAUGAUAAGAAUCAAACGGGCUGGCAGAGAGCUCACGAUUACCGUCUAUGGCAUGUAAGCCCACGAGGUGAGACAUUCACUUGUAAAGCGGCUACGGCCACUGAUCAAACGACACGUCGACUGCUUGUUUAUAUUGGGACCCACCGGCCUCAUUUGUUUAUUUUGUUAUUGCGGGGGAAUUGACGGUCGAGAAUUAAGCUUAGGGAGUGACUGAAGUGGACAUUACUGUAGUUUAGCUUUGCUGAAUGUUUCGACGAAAAGAUGAUCGACACGUGUCAGUUUUUAAAAUAGAUAAGUUAGAAAACGACUUGACAGGAUUUUUCACUUUUAAUACUAGUGAAAUGAAAUUGUGCCUACUUGUUCACAAAGUGUCAAUUAUUUAGAAUUAUUGAGCCAACAAUAGUGCUUCGAUGGGAGGAGAAAGAGAGUAAGAAAAUUUAUCAAAUUGGCCUAAAAUUAGGUUCUCGAUCAUGAUAAACAAUUUUUAUCAGCUUGCAAUGUAUUAAUAUUCACAAUAAAAAAAUCUAUCGAAGACUCUUAAUUUUAUUCAGUGAUAGUUCAAUUUAAAUAUUUAAAUGUAACAAUAACACAUAUAUACUUUUACAAAUAUUAAAAUAAAAAUAAUCUUCUCAAUACAUACGAGAGGACUUAAAUCUCGAGUGAGACAAGGAGAUGGUCAUUACUCGAUCACAAAACGACUUGCCAACAAGGAAAAUUCAAUAAUGUUUGGUAAUUAAAAAAAAACAAAGAAAUAAUGGUAAAAACAAAAACAGAGCAAACAAAAAGCCAUCCCUCUUAUCAUCAUUUAACAAUUGUUCCAUUACAUCUCAUGCAGCUGGUAUCCAUUUGGGAUUUUUCACUUGUGCAGUAAAUUAAAAAAAAAAAAUAUAUAUAUAUAUAUAUAUAUAACAUAAAUUUGAUAAUUAUGAACUGCUCGAUGUUGAAAGAUAAGAAUGCGGACAAGCCUUGGCGUGUACUUAUAUCUCAUUAUUAAGAUUUUUUUUUGGCCUCAUGUGCGGACUCCUGACAGAGCCGAAAUGGAUGUUUUGAAGAUUUGAUUUUUAUUGAAAGACGAUGGCAUAAUAAUAAAUUAUGUUUUUCAACUAUUUAUCAAUUUUGAGUACAAGUUGGCAGCUCAUUACUAUUUAACCACUAUAGAGAUCGUAUCAACCCCAGUGGUUUGAUAAUUUAUUAAUGAGCUUAAUAUGAGUGUUAAAACUCGUUGCACUUGUAAAAUUUGUGAUGUAUGUAUGCAUGUAAUACGUCGAAUGACGUAUAGCAAAUACACAUAUUCUAGAAUUUAACGCUUGGGAUAAGAUUAAUUUACCUUUUUGUUUCUUGUGAUAAGAUAGACGGUUCAUUGGUCUUGUGUUAGGUACGAAGAUUAUACAUUAAUAAACAUUAUUAUAAUCACAAUCACGGUCACCUAUUGAUAUAAGAUUAUCAUCGGCCAGUUUGAAGAAGAAGAAGAAGAAGAAGAAAUUGGCUUUUUGUUUGUGGGUCUGAAAAUGGCAUCUUUAGCUAAGUCACUAUAUUGGGUUAUUUUCACGUACCAUCAAUUCUUAUUUUCAUUCACACCAGAUCAUGUGUUGUUCACAUGGAAUUCCAAUUAUUACCAAACCAAUAUUUGCUAUCAUGUUAAUAGAUAGAUUGAUGUUUAAUGCUAUACUUGUAUCAUAUUAUCACCGACUACCGAGUAUACUAUAGAUAGCUUCUGAUUAAGUUUUCAACAGCACAAGGGACUAAAAUGCGUAAUAUAAGUCUACUUGUACUCGUAUCUAAUGGUCACCGGAAUAUUCAUCAACUUAUAUGCUAAAAUUGGUGAUUUCCAUUUUACGGGGCUGAUCACGCGUGCAGUGCGGGUCAGGCUCCCAUCGGGGAACCGUGUGCUCUACAACUCAGCUCCUCGUAUUGAAAGCUUGACAUGCACAGAGUCGCGCAUCAAAUCACACUCCUUCAUUUCACAGCAACUAAGCUGGGCGCGACCUGAUCACACUCCAUUCUACGGCAACUAAGUUGGGAUAAUACCCUAAGGGCCAGCCUAGUAAUGAUGUAGCCUUUAAAAUCAUUAUUGUUAGCUGUGUGUAGAAAUAAUCAGUUGUAAAGAGAAUCAGUUAAGCGUUUGGUAGAUUUUAUUUUUAAAAGUACUAUGAAUUUUAAAAACGGGUGUUUGAUAAAUCUUACUGUUAAACUACUGUAAGAAAAUAAAUAACUAAAAUAUACAUAAGGUAUGAUGAAAUUUACUUACACAUAUAAAAAUAUACACAUACAAUAUCUUUAAUUGUGUAUUAUAAUAAUUUUAACUAAAAAUAAAAUUUAUACUAUAGUGAUUUUAUUUCUUUUCUAUCUUAAAACAAUUGAUAAUUAAAAAAUCAACUACAAUUUUCAUUAAAUAACAUCAAGUAAAGUAUAACUAAGUAUUCCAAAAAUAAACAUAAAAAAAUGUAAUGAGCUACAAAAACUCAAAACAAAAACAAAUAAUAGAUUGUCAAUAUCAUAUUCACAUUAAACUUGCAGCAAUAUUAUUUCUUAGAAGGAUAAUUUCGGGUUUAAGUAAUAAUAGUAAGGAUAUUUAUGGAAUUAUAUUAAAAGAUAAAAUUAAUUUUCAAAAUCAAAAUUUAAAAGUUACUCCUUCCCUACUUUUUUAAAUUAACUGUAAGAGAGAUUGAUUCUGACAAAAGUGAUUUUAAUUUUUUUUUACCAAACACCAAAAUUAACUUUUAAAUUUUUAAAAUCACUUUUAACUCUUCCAAAAGCAAUCCCAAACGGGCCUAAAUCUUCCAGAUAAUUUUGGACCGUUAAUUCCAAGAUCACUGAUGUUAGAAAUGAGACAAGCUCAAGCAUCAAGUCAUGAGUGGCUCUAGGAACUACUGAAGGGGUGUAUUAUGCCCAGCCAAGAUAUUUUCUAGGAAAACCUUGGAGACAAUCGGGCGAAAAUCUGUAAAUGGGCUGCCUUUGACUAAUCUAGGACCACUCAAAUCUGAAGAUAUGCAAGCAAAUGAACCCUCAAAUACCGUAAGUUGACGGGAGCAUUUUGAAAUAAUUAUCAGCCAUACAAGAAAUUUAAUACAAAUGGCCAACAAUCGAGAAGUAUAGCACAUUGAUAACCUAGUCUGAAACCAGACGUAUCGUUGCUGAAAAAAGAAAAUAUAACCUGCUAAAGGAAAUCUCUCACAAGCAAAGUAUUGAAAAAAACCUGGAAUUUUAUUUCCAUUUUGAAGUUUGUUUCCUCACGUGAUACACAAAAGUGGAUAUGUAACUUCAAUGAACUAACAGAUGAUGAUUCAUACAAGUUUCUGAAAACUAUGCAUCUAAACAACAUUGAAUUUUCUUCGUGUAUUUCUAAACCUACUCCAAGUCUUACAUAUAUACACGAUAAUGUUUCUCAGUUACUUUCUAAAUCUUGAUCCCUUGUUCGGUGUACCAUUAUUUCUGUUAUCAAAUGCGGAUGCCCAGAAGAACAGAGACAUCCAGAAAAGAACUGCAAUGAAGAUGCGAAUGCGGUCUUGGAGUUUAGAGAAACCUGUUCCAUAAUCAAAACAUGUAAUUUCAAAGCACUUCAGUAGUGAUUUUAAAAUUUAAAAUGGAAUAAAGAAAGAGAAGAGCCAAAUUAGGGCCAAAGCAAGGAUUGCAUAUUGCGAAGUAUAGCACUAGGCACCAGGUCGAGAAACUAAAUUUCCUGCUACAAAAGUUUGCUUAUAUCUUUCUUAUGACGUAUAUAUCUUUGAUAGGAAACUCUAGGAAACCUCACCGUUAACAUCUCAGCUAAGGGCUUUAAAACCCCACUAUUUCCUACACCGACAUCAUACUAUACUUUCUAACAUACCGUAAAUAUUAAUUCAUGUCUUUUUCUUUUUUUAUUUUCUAUUUUUUUUUCUAUUCCUCGUGUUAUGCUCUUCCACCAGAUCGGUAUAGAAAGGUAAUGGUACACUAGUGCAUGUAUAAGUUUAUUACCAGUCAAAUAGCAUAUGCAUCACUUAGCAACCACUUUGUGGAAUGUAAAAUAUGAGAUUAUUUAUUCUGAUGACAAAAACGCAUACAUUUUAUAGCUUGACCAGGUCUGACAACUAAAAUCAUUGGGUGAUGUCAGAGAUUACCUCUGGUAAGAAAAUUACCAUUAUGUGGUACUAUUUAAUCUUGGGACAGUUUACAAAACUCAACUUCAGAAAACAGGCAGUGAAAAAGCAUAUUUAUUCUUUAUAAAAUCAGUGUAAUUCACUGUAUUCCGUUCUAGUUCAUGAAACAAGUUUAUAUUCCUUGAUGUCAUAAAAGGUCAUUUACAAUGUUUGCCUUCCUUUGAUGAUACAUCAUCUUAUUCAGACAACACCUUAGAUUUUAGGCCUAAAAUGAAUGCUAACUAGAUUCAUUUUGCUUCAGAGUUACAAAAUGAAAUGAAGACAGUGGAUUUCGAAAUGACAACUUUAGAAGACUAUGUAUUAGUAGCUUGACUUCUUCCACUUAUUAUUGAAUUAGACUACCAACGGAGAAACUAAAUUAAUCCAGACUCUCAAACAAGAAGUUAUGCAAUAUUAUGAAUAAAGAACUUCAAAGACUCUUCUUAUCAAAUUAACACUCCUGGGUUAUUGCCAUCACAACAGCCCAUCACAGCAAAACAAGAAACUAGAGAACAUCCCUUGUCUCCAAAAACAGAACUCUUAAGGGUCCAUUUGGUAUUGUAUAGAGAAAAAUAAAAUUGUAAUAGUGAAAUAAAAGUAGAAAGUUUUUAGUAAAUAUGAUUUUUUAAAUAAUAAUUUUGACAAAAAUAGUAAAGAUAAUAUACAUUCUACAUCAUACAAGUGAGGGAUAACUUCAUCUUAGCUUCCAAUCCAUAGCUGUAAGUGUUUACCAAACACUUUAGAGCUGUAGCAAUAUCAAUACCAAACGCAUCCUAAAUAUAUUGAGUAUUAUACAUUUAGGCUCUGUUUGGUAUGCUAACUAGCAACUAUGGCUUUUACAGCUACAACUCUAAAGUAUUCAAUAAACACCUGCGACAAUAGUUUAAAAGUUAAGGUGAUUUUACCCUUGAGUUGUUUGAUUACCUUUACUAUCUUUUUCAAAAUUAUUUAUUAUUUAAAAAUCAUGCUUACUGAGCUAAAGCUUUUAUUUCACGGCAGCUAUAACAGCAAAACAGAGCCUUGUGAUAUUAUGCAAAACCAUGGGAUUUUUUUUUUUAACUCAUUUCCACCAUAUUCAAAAUUUCCCAUGUUAUAAAUUUAGUGGAUAAAUGAAAAAUACAAAGGUUCAACAAAAUAUGAACAUUUACAACUGAUAUAACAGUGCUAAUACUCUAAUAAUUUUUUUUUUUUUGUGUAACAAUAAUAUGCAAGAAAAAAAAAAUCAACAUAAUGAGCUAAUAAAUACGCAUGAACCAUUAAUUCAAUUUCAAAAAUGACAUAGCGAUUUCAUCAACAAACAUAAAUUGCCAAAUGAGAAUAUUUGACCAUUCAAAUUUCAGUUAAAAUAACUGACCUGUGGGCUGAAUUGGGUCAUCCGGGGGAGGCGGGUUGGACUGGGGAGCCGGGCCGGGGCGAGCUGCGAGACAGCUGCGGAGAUGCGGCCUACUGGGAGUUUUACGGAGGAGCGGGAGAGACGGACGGUGGGGAUAAAACGGCGAGGAAAUGGUCGGUGGAGAUUGGUUUGCGUGGAAAUACUUCAAUGGUGGUUUAAGGAGUGUGCGUGUCGGAGAAAGAAUCUUCAUUUUGGUUUUGUUUAUUUUCGUCAUUUUUGGAUUUUGAAUAUAUAGUGGGACUUUGAAUUGGGCCCGACUUUGGGUAAAUAUUAAUUGGGCCUCCAAGGUUUUUAAGCACACCCACUAUGAGAGUUCUACUCGAUGCUAUUUUAUUGGAUUUGAAUUCAGUCCUAACUAGACUUCGUAUACUUUGUGAUGGGUAGUUAUUGGAUAACUAGUAAUUUAUUUAACUAAUCUUAAUCGUACCCUUGCUAUAAUAUGCCUACAAGGAGGAUGGGGGUUAAUCAAAUUAGCAUCAUCGCUCGACUGCAUCAUUGCUCCAUUGCCGAUAAAUUUUUUUUUUUGUUUAAACCACCCGAUUUCCGGUGACCGCAUUGGGCCCUGACUAAUUUAGAUUCGAAGUGUAGUCACAGCUAAGCCUCCUUACCCAUUCCAAAUAGUAUAUUUAGUGGGGAUCGCCAACUGAACUACAACUGUUUGGUUAUUAUUGUAGUAUUGUUACAAUAUAGUUUUGUUACUAUUCCAAUUAGGAUGUGGUUUUCACCUCUAAUAGUUGAGCUUGGUCAAUUAAGUCAGUGCCAUAAAAUUCCUCGAAUACUUCGUGAGAUUUUACUAUGCGAAGCCAUUUAGUCUUUUUUUUGUUUUAAAAUUUAUAGUUCUUAAUUACUUAGUCGUUGGGUGUUCUCUAACUUAAAACUCCUAUAAAUUUUAUUUAAUGCUGACCUUACAUUUAUAUAGUGAUGUAUUGUUGGUCUUUUUUAACCCCCGUAAUACAGUUAUUAUUUUCAAAAAAAGUCACAAAACAAUGAUUAUUGUUGAUGCGAGAUUCUGGUUGCCCUCUUUCUACGACCAGGAUAUCUGCUCGAUCAACUUCACCUCGAUCGGGAUCUCUCCUCGUAUGCUUUCUUCUCCAAAUAUUCCUGCGUCCACAGAAACAAGUCAGAGCACGCCGGUUGUUUUCCCGGCGUAAACCCUCCGACGCUCAAGUCAAAUAUGAAGGUUCUGGGAACGCUUGCCACAAAUCUUAUGGCUUUUCUGUAGUUUCUAUUCUUUAGAGCUUUCUUUUAUCUCUGUUAUAAUCUCCAAAUUGCUAACCCUUUUACCUUCGUUGGCUACCUUUUUAUAGGCCACUUCUGAACUCGGGCCUUCCCUCCAUUCGCGCUCGUUGUCCUCCCACCUCUCGAAAGUGGAGGCCCCAUUUACGUAGUCGUGGGUGGUUGCGUGGCCUUCGUGCCUUGAUUCUCGGACUGGAGAGUACGCCUCGCCAACUGUCGUUGACCGGGUCUCCUCGACUCAACCCUUAACAGGAAUGUAGCAGGAAUGACUUUAUGCUUCCAAUGCUUCCAACAGGAGAUUGGCCUCGUGGAUGACGUGCUCGUGGAUGAGCAGGAUAUUCCUGCUCCUGCUCCCCCGGAUACCAGACUCUUACAAGAUAUACCUGCUCGAGGAAUCCUGUUACCAGAUGUCUGCUCAUCACUGCUGGUCUUCGUCGAAGUAUAUCCCACAAACACCGGUCCCUCAGUUUCUGGUGUUGGGUAACAUAGUAAGCCGACAGUAGAAACUUGACAGUUCUUGCUUACGCAGGAUAGGAAAAAAGGCUGCCAAGAGUCGUGUCGCAUUUAAUUACGGACGAGGUGAUGUGGCAGAAAUCUACCCCUCUAUUUGAAUUUCAAACCAACGGUUACGAGGCCCUCGGGAUUUGGUGCUGUUAAAUGCUGGCAACCCAAGAGUCCAUUCUCCAUUAGGAAAACCCAAAACCUCUCCAAAGGAAAAUUCAUCAUUUACUCCGUCUCCGUCCCUGUCUCUCCGGCAAAGAAGUUCCGGCAUAAAGGCCUCCAUCCCUGUCCUUCUCCGACUGAACCACUAUUUCAGGUAUUACUUCUAUCUCCUCGGUCUUGGAUAGCUGUAGAUAAUUUCUUUUCUCUGUGCUUUGCUUGGGUAGUAGUUGGUGGUGGUGUUCUGGUGAUAGCUUAGGGAAUUUCGAAAGGUAAAGAGAAUGUCAUUGAGGUUGAUGACGAUGAGUUGGACUUCAUGCCUAGUCUGCUCACCGAUCCUGCUUUUGACCUCGGGAUCCCCUUAGAACCCAUUAGAUCUAGUGUUGGUACUAGCGCUAGGAGGAUGUCCCCCCAAAUAAUCUCCUCGAGCGGAAAUAGCGGUGAUGAGGGGUCUUCUGGCUCGGAAAACACCCUGAGUGAGAAUCGAGGAGGUGAUUCUGGUGAGGUGUCCCCAUCCGGAACAACGCGACCAGAAGGGCGGAGUACAGUAGGAGGUAGAGCCUUAUCGCGGGAUUACGCUAUUGAUUACAUGACGUGCACGACCACGUUUGACGAGCUCACUGACCUCCGGCUUAAGUAUAGCAUUCCUGGUGAAAUACCUCUUAAGGUCCCAGGAAAGAAGGAUACCCCUAGCCGGCCUCCUAAGGGAUAUGUUACCUUGUUUACGGAGAGUUUUAAGUAUGGGCUGAGGUGUCCCUUGCAACCCUACUUUGCCCGGAUUCUUAACGGGCUAAAUCUAGCUCCUGGUCAGCUGAACCCCAAAGGGUGGAGAGUACUCUCUGGUCUGUUCAUAUUGUGGGACAGAUGUUGCCAAUGCGAGCCCACAGUUGAUGAGGUGAAGCACCUGUACCAGCUGAAAAGCAGCCCCAAAGAUGCUGGCUGGUAUUACUUCCAAUCAAGUACUAAGACCCGGAAACCCAUAACCGACCUCCCUACUGGUGGUGGUGGGAAUUGAAAGAGAAAGUUCUUUAUUGCUGGGGGUCCCUGGGGUCAAGUUGCACAGAUUGACGGGAAGGAUUAUCGCGUCCCACCCCGUUUCGUGGUCCCAGGUUGCCUGCUCGCUUUAGAUGUCUUGUAUCCAUAAUUGCUCUCGCUUUACUGGUUUGUCUCUAACCAAAUGUCUGUUUGUAUUGCAGAUUCUUGGGGUGUUCACUUCCCACUCAAACACGACCAGCUCAAACGGGGCGAGGUUGUAUUAGCCAAUUCCUGCUCGAGCCGAGAUCUAAUAACCACUUAUAACCUGCUCGAGUCUUGUUUGGUGCCCCCCGAUCAUAAGAUGGAGGAUGCUGUGAUUGGAGCUCUGACUCAGAAACGUCAUCGACCUCAAACUGUGAAGAGGGACCAGAACAAGGACGCUCCCACUGCGAAGCGGGUGAACACUGUGCAGCAGGUUCCUCCCUUGAAGACUCUACCUCCUUCUCCUGCCAAAGCCGAAGAGACUAGUGGAGCAGCCACUGAUCCUGCUUCCUCAUCUCCUCAUGUCGGGCCUAGAUCUCGUUUAUCUGACAGCCGAGCAGAACACUUGGCCCCCUAUCUCAAUGAGCUUUUCAAACUCGUGAGCAAGAAGGACCUGGAGGACUUUGACGGCUGCACCCUAAGCGAGCUGGUGGGAGCGAUGCAGUAUAGCGCUUUCCAUCUCAGCUGCAUGACCACCUAUUAUAAGGCCAAGGUUGGCCGUUAUGAUAGGAAGAUGAAGGAGGACAUUUAGUCGGCGAUGACCAGAGCUGACGAUGCCGAGAAGAAAGCAGGGGAGCUGAAUCUCGAGAAUCUGAAGUUGAUAGAGCAAGAAUCUCUUGCUCAAGCAAAAGCUAUUACUCUUGAGGAAGAGCUGACUAAGGUCAAGGAGGAUCUGCAAAGGCAGAAAGCUAUGUACGAGGCUCAGCUCGAAUCUCUCCGCGACUCCCACCGGGUUCAGGUCGAGAACUUGGAAAAGGAGGCUGACAACCAAUACGACCAGGGACUUCGACAUUCUUACCGUUGUAUCAUGGCCGUCCUUGGGAAGCAGCAUCCGGAUCUUGAAGAUGGAUGACCUUGCAGCUGGUGUUGCUCAAUACAUGGAUGAGGAGGCGGCGAGAGAGGAUGUCGAACAAGUGGAACCAAUCGUGGUUGAGGAGGAAAACUCUCAUUCUCGUGCAGUCCCUGCUGACGUUGGAGAGGCGAGUACCCCCCCGGAUGCAACUGGUGACACCCCCUGCCCCUGAAGUAGACCAGCCAACCAAAGCUGCUCGGCUUACUGAUCCGCCGUCCUCCUGAACUUGUCUUGCGUUGUAAUUGCUUUUUGAAUAUUAGAUGUAACAGUAUUGCAGACUUUUAAGAGCUUAAUAAAAUUGUUCUUAUUUGCUUUCUCGCAUUGGAAUUUUAAUUUAUUUAUCCAUUUGGCUUCUGACCUCGUCACAGAGGAGGCCUUGAGAGUUGACGAGCUUUCUCAUGCCUUAGAUAAUUUUCCCAGUGUUGGGGAAUCUGCUAGCCUUCACUUGGUCGAGCAGAUCCCGGCAUGCUUGGCUUCCGGUCUCGCCAUAAACAGGCUUUGAGACUUGACGAGCCUUUGCAUGCAUGCCUUAGAAAAUAUUUCGAUGCUUGGGGAUUCUGCUCGCCUUCGCAUGGUCGAGCAGAUCCUGGCACGCUUGGCUUCUGGUCUCACCAUAAACAGGCUUUGAGACUUGACGAGCUUUUGCAUGCCUUGGUAAAUUUUUCACAGUUUCAAGUGAAUGAAAUUCUUCGACGUUUCAUUAAUUGCAGGAUUCAACUUACAUGAAAUUGUUUUGACAUAAAAUAAAUAACCACAAACACGAACAGAAAUAACUUGAAAACAUGGACAAUUCUUACUGGAAAUAUUUCCUGAGGUGUGUUGCGUUCCAUGGGCGUUUCACCUCGUGGCCAUCCGAGCGAACCAGCUUGUAAGCUUCAGGUCCAACUAGCUGCUUGACCCUAUAUGGCCCCUCCCAAUUUGGUCCAAGUACUCCCUGAGCCGAGUCUUUCUUGUUCUGAUUCACUCUCCUUAACACCCAAUCUCCGACCUUGAACUGCCGUACAUUCACCUUCUGGUUAUAAUACCGAGCAACCCUCUGCUGGUAAAUGGCUGAUCGCUCGGCUGCUUGCUCCCUCUUUUCCGUUAGCAUAUCUAGAUUCAAAUACAUCUGCUCGUCGUUCUCCUGCUCAUUGAAAUAGUCUGUCCGGUGCGUGGUCAUUCCUAUCUCGGCUAGUACGACCGCUUCAUGUCCGAAAGCCAAGGCGAACGGUGUCUCCCCAGUUGCUGUUUUGUGGGUUGUCCUAUAUGCCCAUAGAACACCUGACAACUCAUCAACCCAUGCACCCUUUUUCCAUAAACAGGCUUUGAGACUUGACGAGCCUUUACAUGCCUUAGAAAAUUCUUCAAUGAUUGGGAUUCUGCUCGCCUUCGCGUGGUCGAGCAGAUCCUGGCACGCUUGGCUUCUGAUCUCGCCAUAAACAGGCUUUGAGACUUGAUGAGCCUUUGCAUGCCUUAGUAAAAUUUUCACAGUUUCAAGUGAAUGAAAUUCCUCGACGUUUCAUUAAUUGCAGGAUUCAACUUACAUGAAAUUGUUUUGACAUAAAAUAAAUAACCACAAACACGAACAAAAAUAACUUGAAAACCUGGACAAUUCUUACUGGAAAUAUUUCCUGAGGUGUGCUGCGUUCCAUAGGCGUUUCACCUCGUGGCCAUCCGAGCGAACCAGCUUGUAAGCUCCGGGUCCAACUAGCUGUUUGACCCUAUAUGGCCCCUCCCAAUUUGGUCCAAGUACUCCCUGAGCCGAGUCUUUCGUGUUCUGAUUCACUCUCCUUAACACCCAAUCUCCGACCUUGAACUGCCGUACAUUCACCUUAUGGUUAUAAUACCGAGCAACCCUCUGCUGGUAAAUGGCUGAUCGCUCGGCUGCUUGCUCCCUCUUUUCCGUUAGCAAAUCUAGAUUCAAACACAUCUGUUCGUCGUUCUCCUGCUCAUUGAAAUGGUCUGUCCCGUACGUGGUCGUUCCUAUCUCGGCUGGUACAACCGCUUCAUGUCUGAAAGCCAAGGCGAAUGGUGUCUCCCCAGUUGCUGUUUUGUGGGUUGUCCUGUAUGCCCAUAGAACACCUGACAGCUCAUCAACCCAUGCACCCUUUUUUGCUCCGAGCCUGGUUUUCAAAAGCCUUUUAAUGGUCUUGUUGGCUGCUUCUACUUGUCUAUUAGAUUGAGGGUGAGCAGGCGAGCAAUACUUCAAUUCUAUCCCGAGGUUCUGGCAGAAAUCCCUGAAGCUGUGAUUAUCGAACUGCCUGCCAUUAUCCGUUACCAAGGCAUAAGGGAUUCCGUAUCGACAGACCAGGUUUCUCCACACAAAGUCUGUUGUUUUCUUCUCUGUGAUCCUGCUAAGGGCUUUUACCUCUAUCCACUUCGUGAAGUAGUCUAUCGCAACUAUUGUAUGUGUUGUUGCUGCUCCUCGGCCCUUUGGCAACGGGCCGAUCAGAUCAAUUCCCCAUUGAGCAAAUUGCCAGGGGGAAGCCAUAGAGGUGAGCUUCUCUGGUGGUUGGUUGGAGAAACUCACAAAACUCUGGCAGCUUACACAGCUCAUGGUCUUCUCCUGCGCAUCCUGGUGCAUUGUCGGUCAGAAAUAUCCCUGCCUUAGAACCUUGUGGGCCAGGGACCUCCCACCAGAAUGAUUCCCACAAAUUCCUUCAUGUACUUCUCUCUGUACGUAGUCUGCGUCGUCCUCAUUCAAACACCGAAGGAAAGGUAGCGUAUAUCCUCGCCGAUAUAGUACCCCAUCAAUCAUAGUGUAUCUUGAGGCUUGGGCUCUAAUCUUCCGAGCUCGCAGCUUCUCUGGUGGUAAUACCCCGUCUCUAAGGUACGAAAUUAUCGGGUCCAUCCACGAGCAUUUUUGUUAUAUCCGCAGCACCCCCAAAUUCUGCUCGAUGCUCGGGCUGGACUUCACCUCUAGAGGGAUCGACUUUGGCAUUUUUGGGUCUGCUACCGCUGCCAUCCUCGCCAAAAUAUCUUCUCGACUAUUCUGCUCUCUGGGGAUUUGUAUCACCUCAACCGCUUCAAAUUUCCCCAUCAUAUGCCUGACUAUCUUCAGGUACUGCUCCAUCUUCUCCUCUCUUGGUUGAAAUCUUUCACUGACAUGAUUUGCGACAAGCUGGGAAUCAGUUCUGAUCUUCACUCUAUCCGCUUUCACUGCCUUAACCAAUUUCAAACCUGCUAUCAGGGCUUCGUACUUUACUUGGUUAUUUGUGGCUGCGAAUUCUAACUUUACAGCAUAAGAGAUCUCCUCCCCUUCUGGGCCUUCCAAAACAAUUACUGCUCCUGAUCCCUGCUCCCCGGAUGACCCAUCUACAGACAUCUGCCAUACUCGGGCUUCGUCGCUGUCUGUAGCUACAUCUUGCUGGUCCAAACAUAUUUCAGGCUCUGUGAAUUCUGCUACGAAAUCGGUCAUCGCCUGAGCCUUUAUCGCUGCUCGGGGUUUGUAGUCUAUGUCAAACUCGCUCAGCUCUAUAGCCCACUUGACGAGCUGACCAGAAGCAUCUAGCUUGUGCAGAGUUUGACGCAAUGGCUGGUUUGUUUGAAAGUAUGGCCUCAGCUUCCGAGCAGCAACCACAAGGGCAAGUGCCCAUUUCUCCAACGGUGGGUAUCUAGUCUCAGCGUCGAGCAGGGCCUUGCUGGUGUAGUAUAUCGGAUACUGAACCCCUUCUUUCUCUCUCACCAGAAUAGAACUUGCGGCCCGAUCUGAUAACGCCAAAUACAAAAAUAACUUGUCCCCAUCCCUCGGUGUGGACAGCAGAGGUGCUUGCUGCAAGUACCGCUUCAAGUUCUAGAAGGCUUCUUCGCAUUCUGGGGUCCAUUUUAUUUUCUUUCCCUUCCUUAUCACUUGAAAGAAUGGCUGACACUUAUCAGUAGCCUUGGAUAUGAAUCGGCUCAAUGCCGCCACCCUCCCCGUGAGGCUCUGCAUCUCCUUCAGGCUACGAGGAGACCUCAUCUGCACGAUCGCCUGGAUCUUCUCGGGAUUUGCUUCGAUCCCCCUAUGGCUCACCAUGAACCCAAGGAACUUCCCUGACUCGACCCCAAAAGCACACUUUUUCGGGUUGAGUUUCAUCUUAUACUUCCUCAAAAGCCCGAAUGUCUCCUUGAGGUGUCCGACAUGUUCCUUCGGGAUUUUCGUCUUGGUUAUCAUGUCGUCCACGUACACCUCCAUGGUUCUCCCAAUCAGUGGCUUAAAGACUUUAUUCAACAGCCUCUGGUACGUGGCCCCAGCAUUUUUAAGACCAAAUGGCAUUACCCUGUAACAGAAUAAACCCUGGUUAGUAAUAAAAGCCGUGCUCUCCUCAUCAUGCUCAUACAUGGGAAUUUGGUUGUAUCCCGAAAACGUGUCUAUGAAGCUAAGCAGGCCGUGUCCAGCCGUUGAAUCUACUAGCUGGUCGAUCUUUGGUAAAGGAAAUCUGUCUUUCGGGCAUGCCUUAUUGAGAUCUGUGAAAUCUACACACAUCUUCCACUUGCCAUUUGCCUUCUUUACCAACACCACAUUCGAUAUCCACUCAGGAUAAUUGACUUCCCGAAUGAACCCUGCUCUCAAGAGCUUCUCCACCUCGCCAUUUAUAGCCUCAUACCUCUCUUGGUUGAAGCACCUCCUUUUCUACUUUACUGCCCGAGCACCUUUCUUUAUUGCCAGCUUAUGACAUGCUACCUCAGGAUCAAUCCCUGGCAUGUCUUCAUGUGUCCAAGCAAACACAUCUGCAUGAGCCUGUAAGCAUUUCACCAACUCCUGCUUCUGCUCUUCCUUAAGUCUCGACCCGAUUCUGAUCGUUUUUUUCCCGGAUUCUCUGGUCCCAGGCUUACUGUCUCCAGCUCCUCUACAGGUUCUUGUCUGCCGUUCCUGUUUUCCACUCGGGUAUCAAUGGAUGUUAUCUGCAUUGCUUCCCUUGCUGCCGAGGAGUAGCAGCUUCGUGCGAUUCUCUGGUCUCCUCAUACCACUCCAACUACCCCAUUCACCCGGUACUUGAGAGCCAGAUAAUGGUUAGACAGUACCGCUUUGCUCAUCCUCAUAAAUGGCCGACCUAUAAUCAUCUGGUAAGGACCUUCUUCAUCCACCACCACAAAGUCCAAUAUCAUGGUCCUUUCUGUCGGGGAGCUCACAAUUGUGAUAGGCAGCUCGACCACGCCCAGAGGGACCAGCUUUCCUCCUCCAAACCCCUUCAAGGAGGUAUUUGUGUACUCCAACUUCCGGUCUGCUAUUCUCAUCUCCUCCAGAGUUGACUUAAAUAACACAUCAACUGAGCUCCCUGUAUCAACCAGUAUCCGGUCAAACUUCUUACUUGCAACAGUAGCCUUGAUGACUAAAGCAUCCUCGUGGGGGUAUAGAAUCCAUUCUUCAUCUUCAUCCGUCCACAUGAUUGGCACUUGCCUGACUCUUGCUCGUUUGGCUGCUGGGGUGUUGAAGAAUACCUAUUUACUAGUCAUGACGUAUCUAGCAUAAUUCUUCCUCGAUCUGUUGGAAUCUCCAGCCAAUGUUGGGCCCCCAGCUAUCACUCUUACUGUAGGCUGCUCACGCCUCAAGUUUCUAUCACUCUGCUCCCCUUCACAUGUCGAGGCCACCAUCAGGAAAGUCCCAUCUAUAAACUCGUUUAGGUACCGAUUUCUUACCAAAUCUUCAACCUGGGUCUUGAGAUCUCUGCAUUCUGCAGUGGUAUGGCCAUGAGUGCCAUGGAACUUACAAUAGCGUCCCCUAUCCCUCCUGCUGGGUAGCUUUGUUAUUGGGGCAGGGAGGUACAGCAAUCCCCGGUCCUUUAUGGCCUCGUACACCUCGUCCAGGGACAUCUUCAAGGAAGUAUACCGCCCAUAGUCCUGGUUCUGGUUGAUCAUGUGCACUGCCCUUUCUCUAUUUGCUCCGUUCCGAGUUGGAGGCGGUGGCAGCGCUUCUGGUCUGCUCCCUCUACUACCGUGGGAGUGUUGAUGAAGACCACCAUAUGUCAAGUCAUGCCUUCUCCAAGGCUCCCUAGCUGGGGAACGAGGAGGUUGUGCCCUGCUGCGCUGAUACUGUGGUGGCCUCUGAUGAGGCUGGUAAGCAGUUACCCGACCUCCGUCCUCCUGCACCACUACCUGAGGUAUGGUGGUCCCUCCUCCUGAUCGGCCCAUUCCCUGGUAAUGCUUUCUUCUCUUUCUUUCCCAACCCUUCUAACUGGUCUGUCUUAAUCCGUGCUGCCUUUUCCUCUUCAAUCUCAAUGUCCCUCUUAGCCUGCUCGUAUGCGGCUGCAUACGUCUGAAUAACUGGGCUUCUCAAGUUGUACCACAGCCUUCCUAUCUUCACCCCUUCUUUCAAUCCCCUUAAUGCCUGAGGAUGGUUGAAGGCUCCCAAAUCGAGGACAGCACGAUGAAACCUCUUGAUGAAUUCCUGAAGGGUUUCUUGUUCCCCCUGCUUUAUGUUUUUCAACUCCAUCAUGUCAUCUUCUGGUGCCAUUGCCCCACAAAACUGCUCUACAAAUUCCUGGCACAUCUACUCGAAGGUUUUAAUGCUCCCCCGAGGAAUUUUCCUGUACCACUCGCGUGCACGUCCCUCAAGGGAUAGUGGGAACACCCUGCACCUUUGGGAUUGAGAUAAUCCUUGUACCCCGGUUAUGUCGUUGAAGCGCUCUAUGUGCACCAGCGGAUCAGUUCGUCCCGAAUAUCUAAGGUCUGGGGGGCGGAAGGUUAUGUCGUUGAAGCUUUUCCUGUACCACUCGCGUGCACGUCCCUCAAGGGAUAGUGGGAACACCCUGCACCUUUGGGAUUGAGAUAAUCCUUGUACCCCGGUUAUGUCGUUGAAGCGCUCUAUGUGCACCAGCGGAUCAGUUCGUCCCGAAUAUCUAAGGUCUGGGGGGCGGAAAUCUCUUGGAAUAAUUGCCCUCAUGAUAUCUGCUGCGAGCGGUGAUUCUCCGUCCAGCAUUAUCCUCCAACUAGGAGCUCUGCUCCUUCCUUGCAUGUCAUCAAUUAUCUAUGCUAGUCUGCGCACUUCCUCCUCCAGCUGCACUGCACGACCAGGGUCACGUGCUGCAACUUGAUCCCACUCUUGCUCUACAUCAUGCAAGUGUUGCCUCAACUCUGUUUCCUUUGCAUUCGACACCCCGUCGUCCUCGUCAAAAAUCUGUCUUGCCGGGAAUUGCUCUUCCUCUCUAUGAAUUUCUCUCCGCAGAGAUAGGUUACCUCUCUCACCACCAAAUCUCCCGGUGGUUUGACUUCUCCUCGUACUAUCGUGACCUGGUGCCACUCCACCACCUCUCACCCUUUCCUCCUGGGUUUCUCUUCGUUCACUCCGAAGCUCAUGUAGGAUGGUUGUCAGGGUCUCCAUAUGCUUUUCCAUCCGUUCCAUCCGGUCAAACAUGGCUUUUUCCCGUGCUUCACUGGCUAUCUCCCUCAACGUCACAGAAUCGUUAAGCCUCAUAUCAUCCCCUUGUGCACUACUCCCUCAUGCCUCCAUUGCUUUUUCACUUGCUUCACUCCUCUUCUUACUAUCAACAGAAGCUUUUUUAUCAGCUCCCCACAGACGGCGCCAAAAUGUUGAUGCGAGAUUCUGGUUGCCCUCUUUCUACGACCAGGAUAUCUGCUCGAUCAACUCUGUAGUUUCUAUUCUUUAGAGCUUUCUUUUAUCUCUGUUAUAAUCUCCAAAUUGCUAACCCUUUUACCUUCGUUGGCCACCUUUUUAUAGGUCACUUCUGAACUCGGGCCUUCCCUCCAUUCGCGCUCGUUGUCCUCUCACCUCUCGAAAGUGGAGGCCCCAUUUACUUAGUCGUGGGUGGUUACGUGGCCUUCGUGCCUUGAUUCUCGGACUGGAGAGUACGCCUCGCCAACUGUCAUUGACCGGGUCUCCUCGACUCAACCCUUAACAGGAAUGUAGCAGGAAUAGCUUUAUGCUUCCAACAGGAGAUUGGCCUCGUGGAUGACGUGCUCGUGGAUGAGCAGGAUAUUCCUGCUCCUGCUCCCCCGGAUACCAGACUCUUACAAGAUAUACCUGCUCGAGGAACCCUGUUACCAGAUGUCUGCUCAUCACUAUUGAUCUUUGUCGAAGCAUAUCCCACAAACAAUUAUGAAUUGAUGCUUUAUGUUUUCUCGUCCUUUACUUGCAUUGCUAGCUACUCAUUACUGUUAGAAAUGGUAAUGUUCCAAAUUAAACCAUCGCUCUGUGCUUGCGUUUUGUUUGUAUUAUAUGAAUCAUGUGCAAACAUGACAUCACAUAUAAUAUUAUUGACCUGUCGUUUUAUCACAUCCAGAGAUUAGUCUUUUCAUCACCUUCAUGUUAGAUUGUACAGCUUGUUGAUCGUAUUAUUGUACAAAUACAUAUAAAAUCAAGAAAAGAUCGAAAAGAGAAGUAUGCACGCAUCAAAUCUUAAGCAAAUAACUAAUCAAUCAUUAAACAUCUUAAUUAUGCAUUCGUCACAUAUUAUACAUAAUAUUUUUCAAAAGCACACACACGCACAGUACCACAAGUGAGAUUUAAUUAAUUAAUUAAUUAGCUGCUAGCAGCUAGCAAGUCAAGGUUGAAAGAGCUUAUUCCCACAUCUGCAUUUCCACGAAAGCAGAUAAUAACUAUCAUCAUCUCCAUGAGAAUUAGAUGACGCUUUAAGAAGAUUCUUGUGAGAAGGCACAACAAGAGUGGCCACACAAGGCCUGCAACUCGAGCACUUGUUGACGCAGGCGGGUGGCUUUGAUCCCAACACCAUUUUCUUUUUAAACAAACUCUCAUAUUCAUUACCCUUUUCACCUGAAAAUUAAAAAUAAAACUACCCAAAUCAUUAAAACUCAAAAAAAAAAAAAAAAAAAGCAACUAUAUAUAACAGAUGCAUAUGUGGGAAAGAAUAAUUUUAUUAUACCUGCUGAUGUGAGAGGCAGCAGCAGGAAUAUUAUGAGAGAAAUGAUGAAAGCCACAGUGACAUGUGGGCGAUGAUCAUUUGAUGAUCUUGAUGCUGUACCCAUGAUGAUCGGCAUACGGGGUGUGUGUUGGGAGAGAGGAGAGAAGUUAACAAGAAGAGAUGUAAUCUGCGGGGGAGGAAAUGAGGAAUGGAUAAAAAUUGCUUGAUAUAUAUACAGUGAUUUUUAACACUGUUGAGGACUGAUGCCUGUAGAAGAGGGGACAUGUCUCUGAUUCAAUGGCUUGUUAACCAAUUAAACAGUUUUUACCGCGUUGGCAAACAAUAAAUUCUUCUUUUUCCACAGUCUUUCUUUGGAAACUGGUGAGUUGAUGACUGAUCAGACAUUGGUUCAUCAACCGUUAGAAGACUUGACUAUGCUAGCAAAAAUACUUACCAUUUCUCACUCAAAUCCUUUUCAUCUCAAACAAAAAAUAUAUAUUUAAAUCCCAUUAUUGAUGACACUUGACAUUAUGUAUUCAUCCAUAGGUUGUGCCCUAAUUUUUCAUUUGUUUUCAAGUUUUAACAAGGGAAUAAGGAUUAAACCGCAAAUUUUGAAUUUAUACUAUCAUUCUUUAGCACAUAUUCAUACCUGACAACCAAUAUGUUUUUCAGAAUUUUUAACCAUCUUUAAUGAUUUUCGAAAUUAUUCUAUGUGAAAACUCACCAAGUAUAACAAAUCUUGUGUUGUCUUUCAAAAAUAUCUUAGCUUUUUCUAUUAUAGCACUGAGAUCAUUCUUUCAAAUUUCAAUCAGAGUGUUUUAGGGAUGAUAUUAAUAUUAAAAUUAUUAACUCAUAUAUGUUAGAUGGAGUAAAAUUUGAAUAACCCUUAACUCAGAAGUUACAUUUGCAUAAAAUUUGGCCCGUAAACUACUAGUAUUGAUCAUGAUUCAUGCCCAUUCCUUUAUCAUCUUUCAAAUUAUCAAUCGUCACAGAGGCAUUUAAUGCUAUUAAUUGUGACCACCACCAAUGUCUCGAUAUAUCGGCAUUGGUCUGAUACGGCAUCAAAUCAGGACACCUUGGGAUGAUGCCUUGGACUUCUAAGUAAGCCUCUCUUUUUUAACUUUGAGAUAAAAUAUGGAAGCUGGAGAGUAAAUUCAGGGUGAGUUUCAAAAUUCAGGUGUCCUAGUUAUUCUACCGGCCAUAGCAAUAUUCACAAGGAUGAACAAUAUUCGAACUUCAUAAUUAGAAUGAAUGAAAAAUAAACAAUAAAUCAUGAAAAUGAUGCUCCACAUUAAAAAUUACAGAAUAUUUAUCUGUUAUUUAGAGUAGUUUAUGUUAAAGGUAUACAUAUAAAUAUUUUAAGAAGACUUACGAUGUUUAAGUUUCGCAAAAAGAUAAAUUUCAUUUUUUAGCAUAACAACUGCAACCACCUCGUUUUAUUAUUAAAGUUGAGAGUAACCUCCUCACUUCAUCAUUGAAGAUUACAAAAAUGUCUUCAAGCGUUCGUCUAAAACUGAGUAACGAUACGCUUAAAAAUUUUAUAUCUCAAACGACGUGGUAUUUGAUAUGUCAUUCAUUCAUUAAUAUUAUAAAAUUAUCUUAAUAAUGAUGAUAUAAAAAAAUCAAUUAUAUAUUACAAAACUUAAGACAAUCACCGAUUAAUUUCGUGUCAUUCUGGAUACAGACGUUGUCUCCCAAUUUUAUAAGUAUAUCAUUAUCCAUUAAAAUUGGAUAUUAUUUAUAUUUUAGUAGUUAUACCACAAUCCCUAAUUUCGACUGCUUCUUAUCUUAUAUAUGAUAUAUGUUUACGGUUUUCUCAUUUUAUUCUAAGUGUAUAUCUAUAAAUAACUUGUACCCUAAUACAAAGGUGAUUAUUACCUUAAGAUAGUUUUCAUGAUAUCAAAGUCAGAUCAUGUAUAAGUGAGUGUUAGUUUUCGUUAGAUUUAUAGUUUCCAUAAAGAAUCUGAGUUCCUUCCUGUGUAUGUUUUGCGAAUAAAGUUUUUAUUCCGACAUUGGAUUUGAAUGGAAUUUGGUCAUUGGUCUCCAGUCAAGCAUGUUCGAGCUGGGCAAACUUUUGAUGCAAUUGUCAAUAUACUUGUAACUGACCAGAUUUGAAAGGGAGACCUGUUAAAAAUCUAACAAAUCAAAAGUCAACACACUGAAUCAAAAACCCCCUUCAAGAAAAAAAAAAGGUUGGGCUGCUGUACCGUACAUCCGCNNNNNNNNNNNNNNNNNNNNNNNNNNNNNNNNNNNNNNNNNNNNNNNNNNNNNNNNNNNNNNNNNNNNNNNNNNNNNNNNNNNNNNNNNNNNNNNNNNNNNNNNNNNNNNNNNNNNNNNNNNNAAAUAUUAUUCUUUUUUUCAUUAUUGAAUUCAUGUAGGGUCAAGUAAAACGUAAAAGAUCCAUGUCGGUGGCAGCAUUAAAUUCUUUAUCCGUAUAUGAUAUAUCUCGCUCUGAAAGUUAGACACAUAUAUUUCGCCCACAAGUAACUAAUUAAGGUCUUUAUUAACUCAUAAAAAUCUGAAGUUAGCUGCCUCUCUCUUAUCUGUUAUAAUUAAUUAACCUACUACUUUUUUCUCUCUGUGUACAAGGCUGUGAUUAUAGUAUCCGGGGGUUUCACAUUCCACAGCUUACACACCGUCAAAUGAUUGAAUUUUAUUAAGUUUUAUUAACUUUCUAAUUCUCUGAUGGUGCAAGAUACAACGGUAUCCAUGGCGAAUCCCAUAACAUAAACAAAUUUACUGGUAAAACUAUUUUGUUUGUUUGUUUAUUUUUGUGUGUAUGUGCGUGUGUGUGAAAGCAACCAAACGGAGCAGAACUUUAACGUGGAAACUUAUUGGAAAGGAAAGAAGAAGGAAGUGGAAAUUGUCAAUUUGGACAAAAGAGAGAGAUCAAUGUAUAAGUAGUAACCAGUCAAGUCAGGUGGGGUUCAGAAAAGGCCACUUUUACGAAUGCUUGUCAAUUUAAAGUGUCGGCUAGCUAAUUUAGCUGUGCUCGAAUUGUAAAAACAGUUCUUACAGUCUGCCCAAGACAAGAAAACAGUUUUAAGAGAUGCAAUGGUUAAAACAAAAUCAACUUUUCUUUUCACUUUGUAAAAGCAAACAAAUAGAGAUGAAACUUUCAAAAUACUUUUGACUUUUCUAGUUACAAUAAUUUUUUUUCCAUUAUAUAUUAUGAUAAUCUACGGCUAGAACCCGAUGACUUAAGGAUAUUAUACCAAGUGUGUAUUUAUAAUGAUUUACAAUGAGAGAUUUAAUUAGCUUAACUAUGUAUUGUACUAAAAACCUAUUUGAUAGUGAGGUGUUAUGAACAGAAACUGUUAUUUAUCAAAAAAAAAAAAAAAAAACCUAUGUUUGUAUGAUUAACAAUAAUUUUUUUGUUAAUUUUUACAUCUAAUAAUUAUUAUAAAAUGAAAAAAUUUGAAGCCAAAGCCCAACUUCAUUUACCAAACACCACAACAUGUAUAGUUAAGUUAUGACAGCCCGGCUAUGAAUCUCGGACUUUUUAUUUCUCUGUGAUUAACUAACUAAAGAAUUUUGCUGGUGUUGAUGCGGGAUUCCGGUUCUCCUCGUCCUACGACCAGGAUCUCUGCCCGAUCAACUUCUUCACGACCAGAAGGUCUCCUCGUGAGGCUUCUUCUCCAGAGGUUCCUGCGCACACAGACAAGUCAGAGUACGCCGGUUGUUUUCCCGGCGCAAACCCUCCGACGCUCAAGUCAGAUAUGAAGGUUCGGGGAACGCUUGCCACAGAUCUUAUGGCUUUUCUUUUAAUUUCUUUUCUAAUCUUCAAAAUGCCAACCCUUUUACCUUCGUUGGCUACCUUUUUAUAGGCUUCCCCUGAAUCCCAGUUUUCCGCUUUUUUCGAGACGGUAUGGGACUCUGACUACUGCGUUAUGGGCCAACGUGGGAUCUCGCGUGUUACGCCACGGUUCCGGGGAAAGCGUGGCUGUCGUAGUUCUGUGAGAUCUUGCGUGUUACGCCACGGUUCUGGGGAAAGCAUGGCUGUCGCGGUUCUGUGAGAUUUUGCGUGUUACGCCACGGUUCUGGGGAAAGCGUGGCUGUCGUGUCUAGAUUCUCGGGCUGGAGAGCAUGUCUUGCCAACUGCCGUCGACCGGGUCUCCUCGCCUCUCGACCUCUAGCCGGAAUGACCUUAUGCCUCUUACGGGAAAUUGGCCUCGCGGAUGACGUGCUCGUGGACGAGCAGGAUACUUCUGCUCCUGUUCCCCCGCGCACCAGGCUUUUACGGAAUACACCGGUUCGCAGAACUCUGCCAUCAGAUAUCUGCUCACCAUGCCUGGUCUCGUCGACGUAUUUCUCCCAAACACCGGUCCCCCAGUUUCUGGUGUUGGGUAAUGUAGUGGACCAGCAGUAGAAACUCGUUAGUACUCGCCCGCGUGGGAUUGGAAAAGGCUGCCAAGAGUCAUGUCGCAUUUAAUUGCGGACGAGGUGACGUGGCAGAAAUCCCCCCCUCCAUUUGAAUUUCAAACUGACGGUUAUGAGACCCUCGGGAUUCGGCGCCGUUAAAUGCUGGCAACCCAAGAGUCCGUCCUCAUUAGGAAAACCAAAUCUUCUCGAACGGCGUAUUCAUCAUUCACUCCGUCUCCGUCUUUGUCUCUCCGGCAAAGAAGUUCCGGCAAAAAAGGCCUCCAUCCCUGACUUUCACCGACUGAACCAUUACUUCAGGUAUUUCUUCUAUCUCCUUGGUCUCGGAUAGUUGUAGAUAAUUUCUCUUCUCUUCUGUUUGGGUAGUAGUUGGUGGUGUUGUGGUUAGAGCUUAGGGAAUGUCGAAAGGUAAGGAGAAAGUCGUUGAGAUUGAUGACGACGAACUAAGUUUCCUACCUGGUCUGUUCACUGAUCCUGCUUUUGACCCCGGGAUCCCCUUAGAACCCAUUAGGUUUAGUGUCGGGACUAGUGCUAAGAGGAUGUCCCCCCAAACAACCUCCACGAGCGGAAGCAAUGGUGAUGAGGGACCUUCUGGCUCUGAGGACACCUUAAGUGAGAAUGGGGGAGGUGACUCUGGUGAGGUGUCUCCAUCUGGAACAUCACGACCAGAAGGACGGGGUAUAGUAGGAGGCAGAGCCUUGUCGCUCGAUUAUGCCAUUGAUUACAUGACGUGCACGACCUUGUUUGACGAGCUCAAUGACCUCCGGCUUAGGUAUAGCAUUCCUGGUGAGAUACCUCUCAAGGUCCCAGGAAAGAAGGAUGCUCCCAGCCGGCCUCCUAAGGGAUACGUUACCCUGUUUCUAGAGAGGUGGAGCAGCCACAGAUCCUUCUUCUUCUUCUCCUCCUGUCGGGCCUCGAUCUCGCUUACCUGACAGCCGAGCAGAACACCUGGUCCCCUACCUCAAUGAGUUAACUAAACUCGUGAGCAAGAAUAUUCAAUCGGCGACGACCAGGGCUGACGUUGCCGAGAAGAAAGCAGGGGAGCUGAAUCUCGAGAAUCUGAAGCUGAUAGAGCAAGAAUCACUUGCUCAAGCAAAAGCCAUUUCCCUCGAGGAGGAGCUUACCAAGGUCAAGGAGGAUCUGCAAAGGCAGAAGGCUAUGUAUGAGGCUCAGCUCGAAUCUCUCCGCGACUCCCACCGAGCUCAGGUCGAGAACUUGGAGAGGGAGGCUGACAACCAGUACGACCAGGGACUUCGGCAUUCCUAUCGUUGCAUCAUGGCCGUUCUCGGGAAGCAACACCCUGAUCUGAAGAUGGAUGACCUUGCAGCUGGUGUUGCUCAACAUAUGGACGAGGAGGCGGCCAAGGAAGAUGUCGAUGGGGUAGAGCCGAUCGUGAUUGAGGAGGAAGACUCUCCUGCUCGUGCAGUCCCUGCUGAUGUUGGCGAGGCGAGUACCCCCCCGGACGCAACUGGUGAUACCCCUCCUGCACCUGAGGAGGUCCAGCCAACCGAUGCUGCCGGGCUUACUGGUCCAUCAUCUUCUUGAUAUAUUUCUUGUAUUGUAAUGAACAAUGUUCAUGAAGAUUAUCCCCUCUGUUAAUUAUUAACAAAUUAAUAAAAAUGGUUUUUGAUUACUUUCUUGUGUUGUAAUUAUGAAUUAAUUUUCGGUUGAGAAUCUGCUUGUCUCUGUCUAGACGAGCAGGUUCCGGCUUGGCUCAUGGUUUUGUCACAUGCCUUUGGAGAUUCUUCAAUGCUUGGGAUUCGGCUCGCCUUCGCGCGGUCGAGCAGAUCCUGGCACGCUCGGCUUCUGUCUCGCCAUAAAACAGACUUUGAGACUUGGUGGGUCUUUGCAUGCCUUGGGAAUUUCUUCGAAUGUUUUGGAGUCUGCUCGCCUUCUCGUGGCCAAGCAGGUCCUGGCAUGCUUGGCUUCUGUCUCGCCAUAAGACAGGCUUUGAGACUUGGUGAGCCUUUGCAUGCCUUGGGAAUUUCUUCGAAUGCUUUGGAGUCUGCUCGCCUUCUCGUGGCCAAGCAGGUCCUGGCAUGCUUGGCUUCUGUCUCGCCAUAAGACAGGCUUUGAGACUUGGUGAGCCUUUGCAUGCCUUGGGAAUUUCUUCGAAUGCUUUGGAGUCUGCUCGCCUUCUCGUGGCCAAGCAGGUCCUGGCAUGCUUGGCUUCUGUCUCGCCAUAAGACAGGCUUUGAGACUUGGUGAGCCUUUGCAUGCCUUGGGAAUUUCUUCGAAUGCUUUGGAGUCUGCUCGCCUUCUCGUGGCCAAGCAGGUCCUGGCAUGCUUGGCUUCUGUCUCGCCAUAAGACAGGCUUUGAGACUUGGUGAGCCUUUGCAUGCCUUGGGAAUUUCUUCGAAUGCUUUGGAGUCUGCUCGCCUUCUCGUGGCCAAGCAGGUCCUGGCAUGCUUGGCUUCUGUCUCGCCAUAAGACAGGCUUUGAGACUUGGUGAGCCUUUGCAUGCCUUGGGAAUUUCUUCGAAUGCUUUGGAGUCUGCUCGCCUUCUCGUGGCCAAGCAGGUCCUGGCAUGCUUGGCUUCUGUCUCGCCAUAAGACAGGCUUUGAGACUUGGUGAGCCUUUGCAUGCCUUGGGAAUUUCUUCGAAUGCUUUGGAGUCUGCUCGCCUUCUCGUGGCCAAGCAGGUCCUGGCAUGCUUGGCUUCUGUCUCGCCAUAAGACAGGCUUUGAGACUUGGUGAGCCUUUGCAUGCCUUGGGAAUUUCUUCGAAUGCUUUGGAGUCUGCUCGCCUUCUCGUGGCCAAGCAGGUCCUGGCAUGCUUGGCUUCUGUCUCGCCAUAAGACAGGCUUUGAGACUUGGUGAGCCUUUGCAUGCCUUGGGAAUUUCUUCGAAUGCUUUGGAGUCUGCUCGCCUUCUCGUGGCCAAGCAGGUCCUGGCAUGCUUGGCUUCUGUCUCGCCAUAAGACAGGCUUUGAGACUUGGUGAGCCUUUGCAUGCCUUGGGAAUUUCUUCGAAUGCUUUGGAGUCUGCUCGCCUUCUCGUGGCCAAGCAGGUCCUGGCAUGCUUGGCUUCUGUCUCGCCAUAAGACAGGCUUUGAGACUUGGUGAGCCUUUGCAUGCCUUGGGAAUUUCUUCGAAUGCUUUGGAGUCUGCUCGCCUUCUCGUGGCCAAGCAGGUCCUGGCAUGCUUGGCUUCUGUCUCGCCAUAAGACAGGCUUUGAGACUUGGUGAGCCUUUGCAUGCCUUGGGAAUUUCUUCGAAUGCUUUGGAGUCUGCUCGCCUUCUCGUGGCCAAGCAGGUCCUGGCAUGCUUGGCUUCUGUCUCGCCAUAAGACAGGCUUUGAGACUUGGUGAGCCUUUGCAUGCCUUGGGAAUUUCUUCGAAUGCUUUGGAGUCUGCUCGCCUUCUCGUGGCCAAGCAGGUCCUGGCAUGCUUGGCUUCUGUCUCGCCAUAAGACAGGCUUUGAGACUUGGUGAGCCUUUGCAUGCCUUGGGAAUUUCUUCGAAUGCUUUGGAGUCUGCUCGCCUUCUCGUGGCCAAGCAGGUCCUGGCAUGCUUGGCUUCUGUCUCGCCAUAAGACAGGCUUUGAGACUUGGUGAGCCUUUGCAUGCCUUGGGAGCCAAAACGUCUGCUCGACUAUUCUGCUCCCUGGGGAUUUGUAUCACCUCCACUGCUUCGAACUUCCCCAUCAUCUGCCUGACUAUCUUCAGGUACUGCUCCAUCUUCUCCUCUCUUGGUUGGAAUCUUUCACUGACAUGAUUCGCAACCAGCUGGGAAUCAGUUCUGAUCUUAACUCUGUCUGCUUUCACGGCCUUAGCCAAUUCCAGACCUGCUAUCAAGGCUUCAUACUCUGCCUGGUUAUUCGUGGCUGCAAAUUCCAACUUUACAGCAUAAGAGAUCUCCUCCCCCUCUGGGCCUUCCAAGACAAUCCCUGCUCCUGAACCCCGCUCCCCUGAUGACCCAUCCACAGACAUCUGCCAUACUUGAGUUUCGUCACUGCCUAUAACUGCAUCUUGUUGAUCUAAGCAUACUUCGGGCUCUGCGAAUUCAGCUACAAAAUCGGCCAUUGCCUGGGCCUUUAUCGCCGCGCGGGGUUUAUAGUCUAUGUCGAANNNNNNNNNNNNNNNNNNNNNNNNNNNNNNNNNNNNNNNNNNNNNNNNNNNNNNNNNNNNNNNNNNNNNNNNNNNNNNNNNNNNNNNNNNNNNNNNNNNNNNNNNNNNNNNNNNNNNNNNNNNNNNNNNNNNNNNNNNNNNNNNNNNNNNNNNNNNNNNNNNNNNNNNNNNNNNNNNNNNNNNNNNNNNNNNNNNNNNNNNNNNNNNNNNNNNNNNNNNNNNNNNNNNNNNNNNNNNNNNNNNNNNNNNNNNNNNNNNNNNNNNNNNNNNNNNNNNNNNNNNNNNNNNNNNNNNNNNNNNNNNNNNNNNNNNNNNNNNNNNNNNNNNNNNNNNNNNNNNNNNNNNNNNNNNNNNNNNNNNNNNNNNNNNNNNNNNNNNNNNNNNNNNNNNNNNNNNNNNNNNNNNNNNNNNNNNNNNNNNNNNNNNNNNNNNNNNNNNNNNNNNNNNNNNNNNNNNNNNNNNNNNNNNNNNNNNNNNNNNNNNNNNNNNNNNNNNNNNNNNNNNNNNNNNNNNNNNNNNNNNNNNNNNNNNNNNNNNNNNNNNNNNNNNNNNNNNNNNNNNNNNNNNNNNNNNNNNNNNNNNNNNNNNNNNNNNNNNNNNNNNNNNNNNNNNNNNNNNNNNNNNNNNNNNNNNNNNNNNNNNNNNNNNNNNNNNNNNNNNNNNNNNNNNNNNNNNNNNNNNNNNNNNNNNNNNNNNNNNNNNNNNNNNNNNNNNNNNNNNNNNNNNNNNNNNNNNNNNNNNNNNNNNNNNNNNNNNNNNNNNNNNNNNNNNNNNNNNAAUUCGGCUCGAUGCUCGGGCUGGACUUCACCUCCAGAGGGAUCGACUUUGGCAUUUUUGGGUCGGCUACUGCUGCCAUCCUGGCCAAAGUGUCUGCUCGACUAUUCUGCUCCCUGGGGAUUUGUAUCACCUCCACUGCUUCGAACUUCCCCAUCAUCUGCCUGACUAUCUUCAGGUACUGCUCCAUCUUCUCCUCUCUUGGUUGGAAUCUUUCACUGACAUGAUUCGCAACCAGCUGGGAAUCAGUUCUGAUCUUAACUCUGUCUGCUUUCACGGCCUUAGCCAAUUCCAGACCUGCUAUCAAGGCUUCAUAUUCUGCAUGGUUAUUCGUGGCUGCAAACUCCAAUUUUAUAGCAUAAGAGAUCUCCUCCCCCUCUGGGCCUUCCAAGACAAUCACCGCUCCUGAACCCCGCUCCCCUGAUGACCCAUCCACAGACAUCUGCCAUACUUAAGUUUCGUCAUUGCCUAUAUCUGCAUCUUGUUGAUCUAAGCAUACUUCGGGCUCUGUGAAUUCGGCUACGAAAUCGGCCAUUGCCUAGGCUUUUAUCGCUGCGCGGGGUUUAUAGUCUAUGUCGAACUCGCUCAGCUCUACAGUCCACUUGACGAGCCGACCAGAGGCAUCUGGCUUGUGCAGAGUUUGACGCAAUGGCUGGUUUGUUAUUACCGAGACCGGGAAUGCUUGAAAAUAUGGCCUCAACUUCCGAGCAGCAACCACAAGGGCAAGUGCCCAUUUCUCCAACGGUGGGUAUCUGGUCUCAGCGUCGAGCAGGGCCUUGCUGGUGUAGUAUAUCGGAUACUGGACUCCUUCUUCCUCUCUCACCAGAACAGAACUGACGGCUCGAUCCGAUCCCGCCAAAUACAGAUACAACUUGUCUCCAUCCCUCGGUGUGGACAGCAGCGGAGCUUGCUGCAAGUAUUGCUUCAAGUUCCGCAAGGCUUCCUCGCAUUCUGGGGUCCAUUCUGUUUUCUUUCCCCUCCUUAUUACUUGAAAGAAUGGCUGACACUUAUCUGUAGCCUUGGAUAUGAAUCUGCUCAACGCCGCCAACCUCCCCGUGAGGCUCUGCAUCUCCUUCAGGUUAUGAGGAGACGUCAUUUGCACAAUCGCCUGGAUUUUCUCGGGAUUUGCUUCAAUCCCCCUAUGGCUCACCAUGAAUCCAAGGAAUUUCCCUGACUCGACCCCAAAAGCACACUUCUCCGGGUUGAGCUUCAUCUUAUACUUCCUCAAAAGCUCGAAUGUCUCCUCGAGGUGUCUGACAUGUUCCUUCGGGACUUUGGACUUGGUGAUCAUGUCGUCCACGUACACCUCCAUGGUUUUCCCGAUCAAGGGCUUAAAGACUUUAUUCACCAGCCUUUGAUAGGUGGCCCCAGCAUUCUUGAGACCGAAUGGCAUCACCCUGUAACAGAACAUCUCGGGAUUUGCUUCAAUCCCCCUAUGGCUCACCAUGAAUCCCAGGAAUUUCCCUGACUCGACCCCAAAAGCACACUUCUCCGGGUUGAGCUUUAUCUUAUACUUCCUCAAAAGCUCGAAUGUCUCCUCGAGGUGUCCGACAUGUUCCUUCGGGAUUUUGGACUUGGUGAUCAUGUCAUCCACGUCCACCUCCAUGGUUUUCCCAAUCAACGGCUUAAAGACUUUGUUCACCAGCCUUUGAUAGGUGGCCCCAGCAUUUUUGAGACCGAAUGGCAUUACCCUGUAACAGAACAAACCUUGGUUAGUGAUGAAAGUCGUGCUCUCCUCAUCCUGCUCGUACAUGGGGAUCUGGUUGUAUCCCGAGAACGCGUCCAUGAAGCUAAGCAGACCGUGUCCAGCCGUUGAAUCUACUAGCUGAUCGAUCUUUGGUAAAGGGAAGCUGUCUUUUGGGCACGCCUUAUUGAGGUCUGUGAAAUCCACACACAUCCUCCACUUGCCGUUUGCCUUCUUUACCAACACCACAUUCGAUAUCCACUCAGGGUAACUGACUUCCCGAAUAAACCCUGCUCUCAAGAGCUUCUCCAUCUCGCCAUUUAUAGCCUUAUACCUCUCCUGGUUGAAGCACCUCCUCUUCUGCCUUACUGCCCGAGCACCUUUCUUUAUUGCCAGCUUAUGACAUGCUACCUCAGGGUCAAUCCCUGGCAUGUCUUCAUGUGUCCAAGCAAACACAUCAGCAUGAGCCUGUAAGCAUUUCACCAACUCCUGCUUUUGUCCUCCCUUAAGUCUCGACCCGAUUCUGAUUGUCUUUUCCGGGUUCUCUGGUCCCAGGCUUACUGUUUCCAGAUUCUCUACAGGUUCUUGUCUGCCCUUCUUGCUUUCCACUCGGGUAUCGAGGGAUGUUAUCUGCAUUGCUUCCCUUGCUGCCGAGGAGUAGCAGCUUCUUGCGAUCCUCUGGUCUCCUCGUACCACUCCUACUACCCCAUUCACCCGGUACUUCAGAGCCAGAUAAUGGUUGGACAACACCGCUUUGCUCAUCCUUAAAAAUGGCCGACCUAGGAUCAUCUGGUAAGGACCUUCUUCAUCCACUACGACAAAGUCCAGUAUCAUUGUUCUUUCUGUCGGGGAGCUCCCAAUUGUGAUAGGUAGCUCGACCACGCCCAGAGGGACCAGCUUCCCUCCUCCGAACCCCUUCAAGGAGGUAUUGGUGUAUUCCAAUUUCCGGUCGGCUAUUCCCAUCUUUUCCAGGGUUGACUUAAAUAGCACAUCAACAGAGCUCCCUGUAUCAAUCAGUAUCCGGUCAACCUUCUUGCUAGCGACAGUAGCCUUGAUGACUAAAGCAUCCUCGUGGGGGUACAGAAUCCCUUCCUCAUCCUCAUAUACUUCUGGUCUGCUCGCCCUGCUACCGUGGGGGUGUUGAUGGAGGCCACCAGAUGCCGACUCAUGCCUUCUCCAAGGCUCCCUAACUGGGGAACGAGGAGGUUGUAUCACCCUCACUGCGGGCUGCUCGCGCCUCACGUUUCCGCCACUCUGCUCCCCUUCACCUGUUGUGGCCCCCAUCGGGAAAGUCCCAUCCAUAAACUCGUCCAGGUACCGAUUUCUCACCAAAUCUUCGACCUGGGUCUUGAGAUCUCUACACUCUGCUGUGGUAUGGCCACCCCUUCUUUCAGUCCCCUUACGCCUGAGGGUGGUUGAAGGCUCCCAAGUCGAGGACAGCCCGAUGAAACCUCUUGAUGAAUUCCCGAAGGGUUUCUUGCUCCCCUUGUUUCAUGCUUUUCAGCUCCAUCAUAUCAUCUUCCGGCGCCAUUGCCUCACUGAACUGCUCCGCGAAUUCCUGGCACAUCUGCUCGAAGGUUUUAAUGCUGCCCCGAGGAAGUUUCCUGUACCAUUCUCGUGCACGUCCCUCAAGGGAUAGUGGGAACACCCUGUCCGUCGUCCUCGUCGCCAGUCUGCCUUGCUGGGGACCGCUCUCUUUCUCUAUGAAAUUCUCCCCGCAGAGGUAUGUUACCUCUCUCACCACCAAAUCUCCCGGUGGUUUGACUUCUCCCCGCACUAUCGGGACCUGGUGCCACUCCACCGCCUCUCACCCUUCCCUCUUGGAUUAUACUUCGCUCGCUCCGCAGCUCAUCCAGGAUGGUUGUCAGGGUCUCCAUCUGCUUUUCCAUCCGUUCCAUCCGAUCGAACAUGACUUUUUCCCUUGCUUCACUGAUUAUCUCCCUCAGCGUCACGGAAUCGUUAAGCCUCCUAUCACCCCCUUGUCCACUACUUCCUCCUGUCUCCAUUGCUUUUCACUUGCUUCACCCCUCUUCUUGCUAUCAACAGAAGCUUUUUGCUCUGUUCCCCACAGACGGCGCCAAAAUGUUGAUGCGGGAUUCCGGUUCUCCUCGUUCUACGACCAGGAUCUCUGCCCGAUCAACUUCUUCACGACCAGGAGGUCUCCUCGUGAGGCUUCUUCUUCAGAGGUUCCUGCGCACACAUACAAGUCAGAGUACGCCGGUUGUUUUCCCGGCGCAAACCCUCCGACGCUCAAGUCAGAUAUGAAGGUUCGGGGAACGCUUGCCACAUGUCUUAUGGCUUUUUUUCUUAUUUCUUUUCUAAUCUUAAAAAUGCUAACUGCGUUAUGGGCCAACGUGGGAUCUCGCGUGUUACGCCACGGUUCCGGGGAAAGCGUGGCUGUCGUAGUUCUGUGAGAUCUUGCGUGUUACGCCACGGUUCUGGGGAAAGCAUGGCUGUCGCGGUUCUGUGAGAUUUUGCGUGUUACGCCACGGUUCUGGGGAAAGCGUGGCUGUCGUGUCUAGAUUCUCGGGCUGGAGAGCAUGUCUUGCCAACUGCCGUCGACCGGGUCUCCUCGCCUCUCGACCUCUAGCCGGAAUGAUCUUAUGCCUCUUACAGGAAAUUGGCCUCGCGGAUGACGUGCUCGUGGACGAGCAGGAUACUUCUGCUCCUGUUCCCCCGCGCACCAGGCUUUUACGGAACACACCGGUUCGCGGAACUCUGCCAUCAGACGUCUACUCACCACGCCUGGUCUCGUCGACGUAUUUCUCCCAAACACCGGUCCCCCAGUUUCUGGUGUUGGGUAAUGUAGUGGACCAGCAGUAGAAACUCGGCUGGAUAUAUUUUUAACAUGAUUUUCCAGCUCUUAAUAAUUUGUGGCCUGGCCUCUAAGUGACUGGUACAUGUAUUAGAGCAAAAUCUAAUAAGAACUCUUCAAUCAAGUCAAUAGAUAUUUGAUGAUAUUGCUUUCGUUUUCCGCGCAUGCGUUGAAUGAUGAAAUUAAAUCGAAAGGAUCAAGCCGUACCUCUGUUGAUCCGUCAGUGCGUCUCUAGCUACGUCCGUAUUUCAGACUUCUAAUCUUUCCAUUUUCUAUUUUCAGAUGUAACAUAAUUUGACGAUUUGUUUAGUAGAUCAUUAUUUCUAUGUAUAUAAUUUUUUUUUUUUUAUAUUAAUUGAAAUGUACACACAGAAAAUAUAGCCAAUAAGAUGAGUGAUAUAGAACUCAUUUCCCAAGAACACAUAGUAAUUAUUUUUCAGAUCCAAAAUUGCGAAACCACCUUAUGAUGUCGUGCCUAAUUCCUCCAUUGUACACAAAGACUUCAUACUUUCUUGAUUCUCUUAAAUUCAAUGGAUUCUGAGUUUUUGAUACAACUCCAACAAAUAAACAUAUUUAUUACAAACUUGGAAACAAAGAUGCUUCUGAAACUCAGUAGGAUCUUUCAGAAAUUAAACACAAAGUUAAUUAUCUUUUAAUCACAAAGCAAAGUUACAUAACUUAUUUCCAUUUCAAAACCAACCCAAAACCCUCCACAAAAACAUCACAGACCAUGCAUAAACGCCACUUCACUAAUGGAUUCUCACUUCCUUCACAUCCUGCUUAGGCUUUUCGGUCCUAGGAAUUACAAUAUUAAGAACCCCGUUUUUCAACUCCGCCUUAAUUUCGUCAGCCUUCGCAUCAUCAGGCAGCGCGAGGCUUGUGUUGUAGUAACCAUAGCUCCUUGCUGACCAGUGUUCGUCGUCAGAGCCUUCCUCUUCCUCUUCCUUGUGCUCACCCUUUAUUGUCAGAACCCCAUCAUGAAUGGUGAUCUUCACAUCAUCUUUGCCUAGCCCCGGAACGUCAUACCGCAGCUUGUAGCAGUCGUCUUGCUCUUUCACCCACCCCAUGAGUUGUGAUGGUGUAAAGUUCAAGUUUUCGAAUAUCCUGUUAAUGUUUUCGGUUGCUUGCAUGAGUGCAUUUCCAAGCCCUGAAGGAAAGAACUCUAUAGGAGACAGUAACAGAGACAAAAUUACCACUCAUUUGCAAUAUGAAACGUAAAACUUGAACACACGAAAGAUCAGAAAGAAGUAUUACCAGCAAGUACGGGAAUGUCAUUGUUCCUCCAAAGACUCCCCCUCCUGCCUCUUCUCCUUGGAAAGAGCCUUGAUCUUUUUUCAGUCACGGCGACUUCUCUGUCUUUUUUUUUCUCAUCAUUGGCAGCUGUUGCCAUGAACCGCUUCAACAACUCAUUACUCCACUUUUGCCUUUGUACACCACCGAUGGUACUAGCUCUUCUCUCACCAAGAUUAUUAUGCAAAUUUGCCAGAGAAGGUGAAGAAGUUGACACCCUUUGCUGCACGUUCCUCAGAGCCAAACGAGCCAAAGCCAUUUUUUUUCGGUAACUAGGGGAGUUUUUUGAGAAAUUGGGUUGUUCGUCUUUAGUCCUCUUGUCUUUUUUGCCUCUUAUUGAAAGGAUACAUGAAAGUAUUUAAGGGUGCCGGUGAGUUGAGCUUUGGAUAAUUUGAGAAGUCUCUGAGAUGUUCUAGGGGCUAGUAGACGCAUCAAGUAAAGGUUCAUUUCUGACUAUGAAUGAUGUCAUGACCAAUAGAUGAUUCUUGGUCUUUCUCAAACUCACUUGCCUCCCCUUUUUUUUUUUAAUAUAUUUUUCAAGAGAAAACGUUUAAUGAAUAGAGAUUAUUUUAACAUUUUUUUUAUUUUUUUUAUGCGAGGAGUGUUCCACAAUCCAGAGUAAAAUGAAUCGGAUGCCCAAUGAUAUUGCAUUUGGUCACUUUUUUCCCCUUCAGUAGAUGGAAUAAAAAUUAAAAUUAUGCUUCACGUUGCUUUUGCUCAUGACUGAAAAUUAUCUACAGGCUCUACAUAAUCUAGACGUGCUCCUCUUUAAUUUCUUAGCCUAUGAAGUUUCUCCUUCCUGGCCUGGAUCUAGAAGAAACUCAUCCAUAUUUGACUUUGAAUUUAAUCCCCAAAUGGAGUUGAAUUUAUUGCUUCAGUAGUAAAUCUUCAAAUAUAUUACAUAUCCGCCUGAGAAAUGACAGACCGCCAGUACAAACACAUUAUAAAAGGACCUCAGAAAAAAGAAUGAAGAGAUGCAUUUACUAGAGUAAUAGAGAUCUUCUGAGAAUAACCAUGUAGUUCAACCAUUUGACACAGAUUCUCUUAACCAAUAUGAAAACCUUGAAACCAUUUCAAGAAUCCAAUGAGUGCGGAUUAAUCUUCCCAGUCCUCGCAUGAUGAGGAGAAUUUUGCAAUGUUGGCAAUGUUUCAAGGGACAUUUUCAUGUUUUAGUGUGCACAAACACAUACAUACACAGUCGCACGCACACACGCACAGAAGGGAGAGAGAGAUAUGAUUCAUGGUGACUUUCAAUCAAUGCAUAACAUGUUGCUCUAAAAACAGAGCAGCAGGUGUUUUCUCUUUUUCAUUUUUUUCCAAUGAGUUACAGUGCAUACAAGGUCAUCCAGAAAGGCCUGUAAAGCAAAACAAAAAUCUGCCUAGUGCUUAUGACAGAUCAGUUUACAACUGAUGUAUACUCCAAGCUAACUAUAGAAGCAAAUCAAGUGCUACUGCCGCUAAGACGGUGUUUUAAUAUUUGACCAACCUUUACACGCCUUAUACUUCUACAGUCAAUCAUACAUUCCCUCCUGCUCCCAAAUGUCCACAAGAAAAUCUACCAUUUCCUGCCAGUAUUGAGAUCGAAGAAUGAUCAUUUUAACUGUAUUACAUCUAGAGGGGGGGGGAAAAAGGGGGUCAUGGAAGUGGAACUUACUGAAAGAGGAAUAGGUUGAGGAAAUGGUUUGUUGCUCCCAAGCAAACUUUCAUAUGUUGCGUUCCAACUGCAAAGCCAGAAUUUUUUAACCAGGCAGAGACAAUGAGUGCUGACAAAAUAAGAAAAAAGAAAUUCAUGAAUGAUCAAUGUUUACCUUAAAGAAGUACGCAAUCCAGAGAUGGUUUCUUACUAUAUACGUGGACACCUACAAGAGACUCCUAAAACCUACUCACGAAGGCUGUAGACCAACAUAUCUAAACUCCAAUAGCUUGGUCACUUUUAAAAUGACUAUAGUUUGGCCACUUUUAAAAUGACUAUGUCCUGAGCUUAGCAUCUAUACAUACAGUUUGGCCACUUUUAAAAUGACUGUCCUGAGCUUAGCAUCUAUACAUACAAACUGCACUAGCGCAGAAACUAUGGCUGGUUUACAGCGAAUGAAAAUGAAAUACUGUUUUCUGUUUUCUUACUAGUUUCAUAUUCAUAGCAAAUAGAAACACUGGAAUCAUGAUGAAAUGAUGCUACCCUUCUCCAUAAUUUGGCAAAGAAAUUGCAAUUUGCGUUGGUCUCAAAGAAACAUUAGGUCAGAAUUUUUCAUUUUUUUCAGUUUCUUUCAUAUGCCAAGCCGGAAAAGGGAAUGAUUGUUAGCAGAGGAGUUGAAGUUGAAAAGAUGUGAAUUUCUUUAGCUAUUAGCAUGUGUAAACUGAGAAAGUGAAACCAUUUCUGAUAAGUUUGAAUCAUUUGUAAUUAGCAAUGUGCUACCUAGAAAUAUUUAGCACAAUUGAAAGUUGUUUCAACAUAUUAGUUUCUCUACAAGCAAAAUUUGUUCUCAUGAGUAAUGCCAUUAUCUCCUCUCCCCUGGUGAAAAGGCCAACCAAAAUUAAAAUUAAUGGUGUUCAUCUCCAUAUCUCACCACAUACACUAAUGACUUCUUUGAAUUGUUGUCUCUAAAUGCCCUUUCUAGUUGUCUUGGUAUCAUCACUGACCAAACACAUAUACCUUAGAAACCCCAGGAAGGAACAUUACAUAUUGACAUAGAACCCCUAUCCAAAUGGCACUCAGUGGUGAGAGAUAUGGACCUGCAUUUACACUAGCAUGAAGGUUUCUCUAUAAAUAACUAAAAUAAAUCACCUGCUCAGUUAAGAUUGUGAAUUUGUAUCUUGAACAUGUGUUGAUGCCAAGUCCCUUGUCAAAAACAAGUGUAAAAGGUAUUGCAAGCGGAUUGUUACACAGUAAGCAUGUUUGAUUGAUUUAACUUGGGAAAUUCAAGAAACUCACUUUAAUUUGGGUUCACGAACUUGAUGAGUUCGG